CGUAGGUGGCAAGCGUUAUCCGGAAUUACUGGGUGUAAAGGGCGUGUAGGCGGGGAUGUAAGUCAGAUGUGAAAUGCUGGGGCUCAACUCCAGAGCUGCAUCUGAAACUAUAUCUCUUGAGUACUGGAGAGGAAAGCGGAAUUCCUAGUGUAGCGGUGAAAUGCGUAGAUAUUAGGAGGAACACCAGUGGCGAAGGCGGCUUUCUGGACAGUAACUGACGCUGAGGCGCGAAAGCGUGGGGAGCAAACAGGAUUAGAUACCCUGGUAGUCCACGCUGUAAACGAUGGAUACUAGGUGUAGGAGGUAUCGACCCCUUCUGUGCCGGAGUUAACACAAUAAGUAUCCCACCUGGGGAGUACGGCCGCAAGGUUG
rnacentral:rRNA from 1 species